GACGAACGCUGGCGGCGUGCUUAACACAUGCAAGUCGAACGGUAAGGCCCUUCGGGGUACACGAGUGGCGAACGGGUGAGUAACGCGUGGGUGAUCUGCCCUGCACUUCGGGAUAAGCCUGGGAAACUGGGUCUAAUACCGGAUAGGACCACUGCCUGCAUGGGUGGUGGUGGAAAGCUUUUGCGGUGUGGGAUGGGCCCGCGGCCUAUCAGCUUGUUGGUGGGGUGAUGGCCUACCAAGGCGACGACGGGUAGCCGGCCUGAGAGGGUGACCGGCCACACUGGGACUGAGAUACGGCCCAGACUCCUACGGGAGGCAGCAGUGGGGAAUAUUGCACAAUGGGCGCAAGCCUGAUGCAGCGACGCCGCGUGAGGGAUGACGGCCUUCGGGUUGUGAACCUCUUUCAGCACCGACGAAGCGCAAGUGACGGUAGGUGCAGAAGAAGGACCGGCCAACUACGUGCCAGCAGCCGCCGUAA
rnacentral:rRNA from 1 species